rnacentral:lncRNA from 1 species
GUUGAGAUUAAAAAGCAAAGGGUAUAAAUAACCCCACCCACACCUGACCACAAAACCCUAGCCGCCAGUGCCUCGCCAGAGAAGAAGAACCAGACGCCGGAGGAGCCGACCGCCGCCACCUGCCGCCGCACCGGAGAAGUUUCCGACUGCCGAUCGAGGUAAAUUUUCUCCUCCUGGCUCGUUUUUCGAUGUUGAAUCUUCCUAUGGCCAAACCGGAGCCAAACCACAGGCCAAUCGGCCGAAAAACCUCGCCAAAGUCCGGCACCGCUGUUACGACUCCCCUCUAUUUUUGCCUCCGAUGAGGCCCUUCCCCGCCUCCGUUCGAUGCAAAUUUUAUACUACUGUGAUCACCGUUCUUUUCUCUACAG